rnacentral:rRNA from 1 species
AUGGAAGGCCCGCGGCCGCCGCCGGCGGCCAUGCCCUCCACCUGGUACGCCGACGUGGCCGUCCCGAAGACGAAGCCCUUGGGGAAGGACGCCCGGCUCAGGCCGCCCAGCCAGUUGGGCCGGCGCGGCGACGCCCCCGCGGCCGCGGCUCCCACUCCAUGGCACGCCGCCACCAGCGCCAGCGCCAGCAGCAGCAGCAGCAGCACGCGGCUCGCCGACCUCGCGGCCAUCUCCCCCGCCAUGGCACGAGACGCAGAGCCCCUUCAGUUCGCACCCACCCACUGGCCUGCGACUGGCAGCUCGCUGCUCGCUAGUGAUGCCAGAGCAGCGGCACGCUCUUCAAGUAGUGUUUGUGGGCGCGUCCUGCCUAAUAAUUGCCGGCGCGGUGGGGCGGGGCGGGGCGGAGGGCAUCUUUUCUGGCGGUGCGCGCGCGUGGUCGAGGCUGGCGGCACGGGCGUGCUGGAGUAG